CCGCGGUGACCCUAGAAGCGCUAAAUGGUGCUGAUGUGUGUUCUUAGGAAUGUUCUCAACCUUCAAAGUUCAAAAGGCUCACGUGAUGGUGUCUAUGCAACGUGUGCGCAUCCGUGAGGACGUGGUAUCUGCAUCCGCGUGGCCAGCGUGUCCCUCUAGAAACAAACAGGCCCCUCCCGUCCUCCACGGCGCUGUGGUCCAGGCACCCCCUCAUCAGCGCUGCAGGCCCCGGCAUCUGAGCAGCCAUUCCUGCAGGAAGCCCCUGAGGCUUGGGGUGGCCGUUGCCACCACAUGGUCCUGCCAGCCUCACUGGGGCGUCUCCUGCCUGCAGCUUCGGCCCAUCCACCACACUCAGCUACCGUGUCGGUCAUCACGAGCCAGUUAUCACCGGCCAGUUAUUACAGGCCAGUCAUCACGAGCUGGUCAUCACUCUCUAAGCCGCUGUCUGGGAACUUUUCCUCCCCGAUCUCCUCUUCAUAUUGCAUCACCCGUGGGACUGGAUCAGGGUCCACCCCAACAACCUUGUUUUACCUUGACAGACUCAUUAAAGACCCCUUUUCUGAAUGCAAU
rnacentral:lncRNA from 1 species